GAUGAAGAACGUAGCGAAAUGCGAUAAGUAAUGUGAAUUGCAGAAUUCAGUGAAUCAUCGAAUCUUUGAACGCACCUUGCGCUCCUUGGUAUUCCGAGGAGCGUGCCUGUUUGAGUGUCAUGAAAUUCUCAACCUUUUCAGCUUUCUUUGUUGAUCAGGCUUGGAUGUGGGAGUAUGCGGGCUUCUCAGAAGUCGGCUCUCCUGAAAUGCAUUAGCGGGACCUUUGUUGCCUGGCUUUGGUGUGAUAAUUAUCUACGCCAUUGUAGUCAAGCAGCUUAAAAUGAGGUUUCAGCUUCUAACCGUCUCCCCUGAGACAACUUUUUGACAAUUUGACCUCAAAUCAGGUAGGACUACCCGCUGAACUUAAGCAUAUCAAUAAGCGGAGGA
rnacentral:misc_RNA from 1 species